ACUAACCUUUGGACUCUUUUCAACUGAGUGUGGUCUGCCAUUGUAUUUUCAUGUUAACAUUUAAUUUCUAGGCCAUUGUUUGGAGAGUUAGGAUCUUCUAAUUGAAGAAUUUUUAGGGCAUGCCCCAUCCCCUCAUCCAUAGUGGAGCCAAUUAGAUCAAUGCUCUUGAUCAAUGAACGAUGGGCUAAUGUGUAUGGGAUUUUAAAAGUUAGUAAACUAUACAUUUGUUCAUGGGCCGUACAGUUCCUCUUCAUAGAAAUGAAGUCAAGGAGUAAUUAACAUUGAUUUUCCUUUUUGUUUUCCUUAACUCAUUGAUUAUAAUCAUUUCUUGUUAUCAAUUGGAUUUCUUUGAUUCAUUACACUCAAUUUAGGGAUGGUUUGCACCAAUUCAAGAGACUGUACAUUUAGACAUUCAAUAUAUAAGACUGGAGUGAGACUGAUUAGGCAUUUAAAUGUGUUGCAGGAUGUUGUUUGAAUUACUUGUCCUAACAGGUGCACAAGUUGGGAUGGAUUGGACUUCUAUCUUGAGAAAACGCCAUGAUUUCAGGUUUGAUGCAGAAAUCCUCGCCAACUUCACAGAAAGACAAAUAGCAUCAGUGGCCACAGAUUGCAACCUGGAUUUAAAUAAGGUUCGAGGUGCCAUCAACAAUGCUAACAGAAUCCUCCAGAUCAGAUUGUUGAUUGGACCUUAUUUUAUUUAAAUGAUCUUGAUAAUCCAUUUUAUUUAAA